ensembl:misc_RNA Metazoa_SRP Metazoan signal recognition particle RNA
GCCGGGCGCGGUGGCUCAAGCCUGUAAUCCUAGCACUUUGGGAGGCCGAGACGGGCGGAUCACGAGGUCAGGAGAUCGAGACCAUCCUGGCUAACACGGUGAAACCCCGUCUCUACUAAAAAGUACAAAAAACUAGCUGGGCGAGGUGGCGAGCGCCUGUAGUCCCAGCUAGUUUUUUGUACUUUUUAGUAGAGACGGGGUUUCACCGUGUUAGCCAGGAUGGUCUCGAUCUCCUGACCUUGUGAUCCGCCCGUCUCGG